rnacentral:rRNA from 1 species
AUUGAACGCUGGCGGCAGGCCUAACACAUGCAAGUCGAGCGGUAGCACAGAGAGCUUGCUCUCGGGUGACGAGCGGCGGACGGGUGAGUAAUGUCUGGGAAACUGCCUGAUGGAGGGGGAUAACUACUGGAAACGGUAGCUAAUACCGCAUAACGUCGCAAGACCAAAGUGGGGGACCUUCGGGCCUCAUGCCAUCAGAUGUGCCCAGAUGGGAUUAGCUGGUAGGUGGGGUAACGGCUCACCUAGGCGACGAUCCCUAGCUGGUCUGAGAGGAUGACCAGCCACACUGGAACUGAGACACGGUCCAGACUCCUACGGGAGGCAGCAGUGGGGAAUAUUGCACAAUGGGCGCAAGCCUGAUGCAGCCAUGCCGCGUGUGUGAAGAAGGCCUCGGUUGUAAGUCACUUCUACGGGAGGAGGACGGUGGAGGUUAAGUAACUACAUACGAUUGACGUUACCGCCACGAAGAAGACGACC